CUACGGGACGCUGCAGUGAGGAAUAUUGCACAAUGGGGGGAACCCUGAUGCAGCAACGCCGCGUGGAGGAUGACGCAUUUCGGGGUGUAAACUCCUUUUAUAUGUCAAGAAAAUGACGGUAGCAUAUGAAUAAGCACCGGCUAACUCCGUGCCAGCAGCCGCGGUAAUACGGAGGGUGCAAGCGUUACUCGGAAUCACUGGGCGUAAAGGACGCGUAGGCGGGUUGGAAAGUCAGGUGUGAAAUCCUACAGCUUAACUGUAGAACUGCACUUGAAACUUCUAAUCUAGAGUAUGGGAGGGGGAGAUGGAAUUUGUGGUGUAGGGGUAAAAUCCGUAGAUAUCACUAGGAAUACCUAAAGCGAAGGCGAUCUCCUGGAACAUUACUGACGCUAAGGCGUGAAAGCGUGGGGAGCAAACAGGGUUAGAUACCCGAGUAGUC
rnacentral:rRNA from 1 species